GAUGAACGCCGGCGGUGUGCCUAAUACAUGCAAGUUGUACGCACUGGCCCAACUGAUUAAUGGUGCUUGCACCUGAUUGACGAUGGAUCACCAGUGAGUGGCGGACGGGUGAGUAACACGUAGGUAACCUGCCCCGGAGCGGGGGAUAACAUUUGGAAACAGAUGUUAAUACCGCAUAACAACAAAAGCCACAUGGCUUUUGUUUGAAAGAUGGCUUCGGCUAUCACUCUGGGAUGGACCUGCGGUGCAUUAGCUAGUUGGUAAGGUAACGGCUUACCAAGGCGAUGAUGCAUAGCCGAGUUGAGAGACUGAUCGGCCACAAUGGAACUGAGACACGGUCCAUACUCCUACGGGAGGCAGCAGUAGGGAAUCUUCCACAAUGGGCGCAAGCCUGAUGGAGCAACACCGCGUGAGUGAAGAAGGGUUUCGGCUCGUAAAGCUCUGUUGUUGGAGAAGAACGUGCGUGAGAGUAACUGUUCACGCAGUGACGGUAUCCAACCAGAAA
rnacentral:rRNA from 1 species